GACGAACGCUGGCAGCGUGCCUAAUACAUGCAAGUCGAGCGGACUUAAAAAGCUUGCUUUUUAAGUUAGCGGCGGACGGGUGAGUAGCACGUGGGCAACCUGCCUGUAAGACUGGGAUAACUUCGGGAAACCGGAGCUAAUACCGGAUAAUCCUUUCCUACUCAUGUAGGAAAGCUGAAAGACGGUUUACGCUGUCACUUACAGAUGGGCCCGCGGCGCAUUAGCUAGUUGGUGAGGUAACGGCUCACCAAGGCGACGAUGCGUAGCCGACCUGAGAGGGUGAUCGGCCACACUGGGACUGAGACACGGUCCAGACUCCUACGGGAGGCAGCAGUAGGGAAUCUUCCGCAAUGGACGAAAGUCUGACGGAGCAACGCCGCGUGAGUGAUGAAGGUUUUCGGAUCGUAAAACUCUGUUGUUAGGGAAGAACAAGUACGAGAGUAACUGCUCGUACCUUGACGGUACCUAACCAGAAAGCCACGGCUAACUACGUGCCAGCCGCCGCAGUAA
rnacentral:rRNA from 1 species